GUUAGCAUAGUUUAAUAAAAAACAUUAGAUUGUGAUUCUGAAAACAGAGGUUAGUUUCCUCUUGCUCACC
rnacentral:tRNA from 1 species